GUUUGAUCCUGGCUCAGGAUGAACGCUAGCUAUAGGCUUAACACAUGCAAGUCGAGGGGUAACAUGAUUAAAGCUUGCUUUAAUUGAUGACGACCGGCGGAUUGGUGAGUAACACGUAUCCAACCUACCGUAUACACGGGGAUAGCCUUUCGAAAGAAAGAUUAAUACCCGAUGGUGUAAUGAAAGCGCAUGNUUUUAUUGCUAAAGAUUUAUUGGUAUAUGAUGGGGAUGCGUUCCAUUAGAUAGUUGGUAGGGUAACGGCCUACCAAGUCAGCGAUGGAUAGGGGUUCUGAGAGGAAGACCCCCCACAUUGGAACUGAGACACGGUCCAAACUCCUACGGGAGGCAGCAGUGAGGAAUCUUGGUCAAUGGGCGCAAUGCCUGAACCAGCCAAGUAGCGUGAAGGAAGACUGCCCUUAGGGUUGUAAACUUCUUUUAUAAGGGAAUAACGAUAGCAACGAGUUGCUAUUUGCAUGUACCUUACGAAUAAGGAUCGGCUAACUCCGUGCCAGCAGCCGCGGUAAUACGGAGGAUCCAAGCGUUAUCCGGAUUUAUUGGGUUUAAAGGGUGCGUAGGNGGGAAAGGAAGUCAGUUGUGAAAUUUUAUGGCUCGACCAUAAACUUGCAGUUGAAACUCUUUUUCUUGAGUACACAUGAGGUGGGCGGAAUUUGUGGUGUAGCGGUGAAAUGCAUAGAUAUCACAAGGAACUCCAAUUGCGAAGGCAGCUCACUGGGGUGUAACUGACGCUAAUGCACGAAGGUGUGGGUAUCAAACAGGAUUAGAUACCCUGG
rnacentral:rRNA from 1 species